AGGGCUAAUAGGGGGCAAAGACGAUGGGUCCCGUGGCAGGGCGAACGGCUCCUGCUGGGGUGCGAAACAGAGCUGGGCCCAGGAUCGGAGGCGGGAAGAGGGUGGUGGCUGCCGUAGGCGCAGGCCGGAGGGCCAGGGGCCCUGGGAGGGCACAGAUGGUUGCCGCCGCGGUGGGGAUCGGGCUGGGCAGGAAGCGGGCUGCCAGCGUCUUGGUGAGUUGCUUCUGCAAGGCCAGUUUAGACUGCAGAGAAGAGAGGAAAGGACUCAAGUCUCUGACCCCAGGAAAAUCCUGUCCCCUCCCUGGGCCCCCUCCUUGGGCUUUUUGCUGUGGAGUGGGGGGGGAAACGUGACUGUCAGGAUUCCAAACCUAAAUCCUCCUCCCUUCCCACCCCCAAACAUUCAUUCCAAAGGGCUUUCUCCACCACCUGCCUUCCUGCCUGGAGGGAGGAGAAUCUUAGGAUGGGCCGAGGGAGGAGGCUCUGGGGAGCGGGGGUGGAGAUGGUCUCUGGGAGAUGCAUGCCCACGCCUCGCUGUUGCCCCUGAGGUUACUACCUGGGCCCACCUUCCCCCCGGAAAUGUUUCUGAGCAGAUCCCCAGACAGCCAAAAACCCAACCCCAGCUCUUUCCCUGCCCAGGCAGCCUCCAACGGGGGUGGCUUCCUUCCUGCCCCUCCUCCCAGCCCCCCAGCUGGCCCUCCCUUCCGGCCUACCCUCUCCCCUUACCCUCUCCCCUCUGGACCCGGGUCCCAGCUCUGUUGCCCGGAGACAGAUACCUUGAGGAUACUCACAGCCAGCGCUGCGUGCUUCUGCAGCCUGCUGUGCUGGCCGGAGGGCUUGGGGGGCUUCCCGGCCAGGCGGUCUUUGUGCCUCCUGCUGCUCAGGUGCUAAUGGACAGACAGACAGACUGGGAACAAGAUGAGGAACCCAAGGACCCCAAAACUACGGCUAGCUCACCCUUCCUCUACCCACAAUUCACACACCUAAUGCACAUGGCCCUGGAGUGGCCCUGGGAAGGGGAGGUUAAGAAUUGGCCUUCGCCUUCCAGGAGCCUCGCACCUCUUCCUCCACUGCUCCCUGCUCUGCUCUACCCACCUCCUCCCCGCAGGCUCCCUCCUCCCGGCCUGGCACUGGGCCCACCCCCCUCACCCCUGCUCCACCCCCAAUCCCAGCCACGCUUGCCCCACCUGCUUGAGUUGGGUCUCUGAAUUGACCUGGAGCUGACAGAGAGCACAGUGGAAAGGGGGCCUGGGCCCCUGCCGGCCCCCGCGGACACCCGUCACUCUCUUGGCCUUGUGUCCAGCUCCUCCCCGGGGCACUGCGUGGCCCCUGCCCCUGCGGGGAGCGCCCCGCUGACCUUCCACCAUCCACCGGUGCUUGGCUCCUGGAGGGAGGAAAGAAGACAGCUUGCUAGCACCAAAGAGGGGCUUCAGGGGCCACGGAGACCCCCCUCCAAACCAGGGUCCUCCCGGCUGUCCUCAUUUCAUGCCAGCAUCGCCCGAGGAAGGCCUCGUUGCUGAGUAACAGGCAUUACCGGGAGGACCUGAAAUGCCCACCCAGCCACAGCUGAGCACAGCGCCUCUGUCACCUAGCCCUGGAGCAAAGUGCCCAGAAGCUCUAGCCUGCCCACAUCUGCUGAGGGCCAUCUCCUCCCCGGGACUCGAGCUGGUGAGGGGCGCACUGACCUGUGUUGUGAGCCUGAAGCUGGGAGGCGGAGUUCACGGUCACCUUACACGUGGGGCAGUAGAGGCGCCCCUUCUCGCUCCUGCCUUCCCCACUCACACCACUUUGCACAGCAGCCGCCACCGGUUCAGGCCCUGGCGCCUCUCUCCCAGGCUCUGGGGAGCAGGGUGGGCAAGAGGAAGAGGAGGAAGAGGAGGCAGCAUCCAAGACGUCUGAGUGGGCCGGCUCCCUGGGCGUGGGUUCCGGACUCAGGGGUGG